GCCUUCGUGGUGUAGUAGUCAAGACUCUCGACGCGUAACCGAAAGGUCCGUGGUUCGACUCCCGGCGAAGGCG
rnacentral:tRNA from 1 species